GGUGAGAUGGCCGAGCGGUCUAAGGCGCUACGUUAAGGUCUUUCAAAACCUUAAAAACAAACUUGUUAUCCGUAGUCCGAAAGGGCGUGGGUUCGAAUCCCACUCUCAUCA